rnacentral:misc_RNA from 1 species
CUGAAGAAAAAGCAUCGGCUAACUCCGUGCCAGCAGCCGCGGUAAUACGGAGGAUGCAAGCGUUAUCCGGAAUCAUUGGGCGUAAAGGGUCCGCAGGUGGCGAAUAAAGUCUGCUGUUAAGGACCGGGGCUUAACUCCGGAAAGGCAGUGGAAACUGAUUAGCUAGAGUACGGUAGGGGUAGAGGGAAUUCCCAGUGUAGCGGUGAAAUGCGUAGAUAUUGGGAAGAACACCGGUGGCGAAAGCGCUCUACUAGGCCGAAACUGACACUGAGGGACGAAAGCUAGGGUAGCGAAAGGGAUUAGAUACCCCUGUAGUCUUAGCGGUAAACGAUGGAUACUAGGUGUAGCUUGUAUCGACCCAAGCUGUGCCGAAGCUAACGCGAUAAGUAUCCCGCCUGGGGAGUACGCACGCAAGUGUGAAACUCAAAGGAAUUGACGGGGGCCCGCACAAGCGGUGGAGUAUGUGGUUUAAUUCGAUGCAACGCGAAGAACCUUACCAGGGCUUGACAUGUCGCGAAUCUAGCGGAAACGUUAGAGUGCCUUAGGGAAUGCGAACACAGGUGGUGCAUGGCUGUCGUCAGCUCGUGUCGUGAGAUGUUGGGUUAAGUCCCGCAACGAGCGCAACCCUCGUCCUUAGUUGCCAAUAUUAAGUUAGGCACUCUAGGGAGACUGCCGGGGACAACUCGGAGGAAGGUGGGGAUGACGUCAAGUCAGCAUGCCCCUUACGUCCUGGGCGACACACGUACUACAAUGGUUGGGACAAAGGGCAGCAGGCUCGCGAGAGUAAGCGAAUCUCAUCAAACCCAGCCACAGUUCAGAUUGCAGGCUGCAACUCGCCUGCAUGAAGUAGGAAUCGCUAGUAAUCGCAGGUCAGCAUACUGCGGUGAAUUCGUUCCCGGGCCUUGUACACACCGCCCGUCACACCAUGGAAGCUGGCUACGCCCGAAGUCGUUACCCUAACCCGGUUUUGGGAGGGGGAUGCCGAAGGUAGAGCUAGUGACUGGGGUGAAGUCGUAACAAGGUAGCCGUACCGGUAGGUGUGGCUGGAUCACCUCCUUUACAGGGAGACCUAGUCUAAUUACCAAUAGAUGAAAAAGUUGGUAAUUCGCAAGAAUCCUUAGGUCGUGAAGGGAGCAAGAAAAAACUUUCAAACUGUAAUGGGUGAGGGUACUCGGGCUAUUAGCUCAGGUGGUUAGAGCGCACCCCUGAUAAGGGUGAGGUCCCUGGUUCAAGUCCAGGAUGGCCCACCUGAAAUACACAGGCAGGAUGCCACAAAAAAAGGAAAAAAUUUUAGCAUUGUCUCUUGUAAUCAAGAGCAAGAGAUAAUGCUGGAAUCUAUUCC